rnacentral:rRNA from 1 species
CCUACGGGAGGCAGCAGUGGGGAAUAUUGGACAAUGGGGGCAACCCUGAUCCAGCCAUGCCGCGUGUGUGAAGAAGGCCCGCGGGUUGUAAAGCACUUUCAGUGAGGAAGAACGCCUGGUGGUUAAUACCCAUCAGGAAAGACAUCACUCACAGAAGAAGCACCGGCUAACUCCGUCCAGCAGCCGCGGUAAUACGGAGGGUGCGAGCGUUAAUCGGAAUUACUGGGCGUAAAGCGCGCGUAGGUGGCUUGAUAAGCCGGUUGUGAAAGCCCCGGGCUCAACCUGGGAACGGCAUCCGGAACUGUCAAGCCAGAGUGCAGGAGAGGAAGGUAGAAUUCCCGGUGUAGCGGUGAAAUGCGUAGAGAUCGGGAGGAAUACCAGUGGCGAAGGCGGCCUUCUGGACUGACACUGACACUGAGGUGCGAAAGCGUGGGUAGCAAACAGGAUUAGAUACCCUAGUAGUC